CUUUUACAAUGAAGAGUUUGAUCCUGGCUCAGGAUGAACGCUAGCGACAGGCUUAACACAUGCAAGUCGAGGGGCAGCACAGGUAGCAAUACCGGGUGGCGACCGGCGCACGGGUGAGUAACGCGUAUGCAACUUACCUAUCAGAGGGGGAUAACCCGGCGAAAGUCGGACUAAUACCGCAUGAAGCAGGGGCCCCGCAUGGGGAUAUUUGCUAAAGAUUCAUCGCUGAUAGAUAGGCAUGCGUUCCAUUAGGCAGUUGGCGGGGUAACGGCCCACCAAACCGACGAUGGAUAGGGGUUCUGAGAGGAAGGUCCCCCACAUUGGUACUGAGACACGGACCAAACUCCUACGGGAGGCAGCAGUGAGGAAUAUUGGUCAAUGGGCGUAAGCCUGAACCAGCCAAGUCGCGUGAGGGAUGAAGGUUCUAUGGAUCGUAAACCUCUUUUAUAAGGGAAUAAAGUGCGGGACGUGUCCCGUUUUGUAUGUACCUUAUGAAUAAGGAUCGGCUAACUCCGUGCCAGCAGCCGCGGUAAUACGGAGGAUCCGAGCGUUAUCCGGAUUUAUUGGGUUUAAAGGGAGCGUAGGCGGACGCUUAAGUCAGUUGUGAAAGUUUGCGGCUCAACCGUAAAAUUGCAGUUGAUACUGGGUGUCUUGAGUACAGUAGAGGCAGGCGGAAUUCGUGGUGUAGCGGUGAAAUGCUUAGAUAUCACGAAGAACUCCGAUUGCGAAGGCAGCUUGCUGGACUGUAACUGACGCUGAUGCUCGAAAGUGUGGGUAUCAAACAGGAUUAGAUACCCUGGUAGUCCACACAGUAAACGAUGAAUACUCGCUGUUUGCGAUAUACAGUAAGCGGCCAAGCGAAAGCGUUAAGUAUUCCACCUGGGGAGUACGCCGGCAACGGUGAAACUCAAAGGAAUUGACGGGGGCCCGCACAAGCGGAGGAACAUGUGGUUUAAUUCGAUGAUACGCGAGGAACCUUACCCGGGUUUGAAUUGCAACUGAAUGAUGUGGAGACAUGUCAGCCGCAAGGCAGUUGUGAAGGUGCUGCAUGGUUGUCGUCAGCUCGUGCCGUGAGGUGUCGGCUUAAGUGCCAUAACGAGCGCAACCCUUGCCACUAGUUACUAACAGGUAAAGCUGAGGACUCUGGUGGGACUGCCAGCGUAAGCUGCGAGGAAGGCGGGGAUGACGUCAAAUCAGCACGGCCCUUACAUCCGGGGCGACACACGUGUUACAAUGGCGUGGACAAAGGGAAGCCACCUGGCGACAGGGAGCGAAUCCCCAAACCACGUCUCAGUUCGGAUCGGAGUCUGCAACCCGACUCCAUGAAGCUGGAUUCGCUAGUAAUCGCGCAUCAGCCAUGGCGCGGUGAAUACGUUCCCGGGCCUUGUACACACCGCCCGUCAAGCCAUGGGAGCCGGGGGUACCUGAAGUCCGUAACCGCGAGGAUCGGCCUAGGGUAAAAC
rnacentral:rRNA from 1 species